AGGCUGAACGACUGCUGUCACUGACAACUAAGGAUUUGGCAGAGGAAAGUCCGAACUCCUCCGAACAGGGCGCCGGCUAACGGCCGGGCGGCGUAAGCCGACGGAAAGUGCAACAGAAACAAACCGCCGUUUUGAACGGUAAGGGUGAAAUGGUGCGGUAAGAGCGCACCGGCGUCAUGGCAACAUGGCGGCCGGGCAAACCCCGCCUGGAGCAAGGCCAAAUAGGAGGACCAAAGGCGUUCGGCCUAAUCCUCGGGUAGGCUGCUUGAGGCGACGAGUAAUCGUCGUCCCAGAUGGAUGGUCGUUACUUUCAAAAUUGGGCACUUUUGAAUUUACAGAAUUCGGCUUACAGGCCUCCCU
rnacentral:RNase_P_RNA from 1 species